AGGAAUAUUGGUCAAUGGACGCAAGUCUGAACCAGCCAUGCCGCGUGCAGGAUGACGGCUCUAUGAGUUGUAAACUGCUUUUGUACGAGGGUAAACGCAGAUACGUGUAUCUGUCUGAAAGUAUCGUACGAAUAAGGAUCGGUUAACUCCGUGCCAGCAGCCGCGGUAAU
rnacentral:rRNA from 1 species